AAGAAUAGUAUCAAAACAUACAAGUGGUGAAAUUAAAAAAUUUGAAAGCUUUCAAAGGAAUCAAACUGAUAGUGGCUGCUCGAUUUUCCCAGCUAAAACUGCAGUGGAAAAAUACCCGGAAACCGUGGAAUACUUUGGGAAACAUCGUCAGCUCUUCGCAUCAACAAGCAGUACCGACCGAGAUGGAAGGAAAUCAACGCAGAACGAGUCAACAGGUGAGUUUACGUAUCGAGUUUAAUAAGGAUGGU